rnacentral:rRNA from 1 species
GGAUGAACACUGGCGGCGUGCCUAAUACAUGCAAGUCGAGCGAACAGACGAGGAGCUUGCUCCUCUGACGUUAGCGGCGGACGGGUGAGUAACACGUGGAUAACCUACCUAUAAGACUGGGAUAACUUCGGGAAACCGGAGCUAAUACCGGAUAAUAUAUUGAACCGCAUGGUUCAAUAGUGAAAGACGGUUUUGCUGUCACUUAUAGAUGGAUCCGCGCCGCAUUAGCUAGUUGGUAAGGUAACGGCUUACCAAGGCAACGAUGCGUAGCCGACCUGAGAGGGUGAUCGGCCACACUGGAACUGAGACACGGUCCAGACUCCUACGGGAGGCAGCAGUAGGGAAUCUUCCGCAAUGGGCGAAAGCCUGACGGAGCAACGCCGCGUGAGUGAUGAAGGUCUUCGGAUCGUAAAACUCUGUUAUUAGGGAAGAACAAAUGUGUAAGUAACUAUGCACGUCUUGACGGUACCUAAUCAGAAAGCCACGGCUAACUACGUG